rnacentral:lncRNA from 1 species
UAGGAGGGCUGUUUGGGGCAGCUAUCCCUUGGGCUAGUUGGUGGUAGGCUACUCAUUUGUUUUGUGAGAGUCUUUGGUAGACGGAGAGAGGGAGAGAAGAGUGGAUCUUCGUGUUGAUCUUUUUGCCAUCCAAACUUUGUUUGUGCUUAGGUUUGGCUUGUAACCGGACAUGGUGAAGUAAUCUAAAGAUCUAUUUUGUAUCAUCUUGUUCCAUCCCAUUUGGAUUUGCA